rnacentral:lncRNA from 1 species
GAUUGCCUGGCUCUGUGUGUCCUUUUUGUGUAUGAUUGUGACUGUAUAAAGGUGUGUAGGUGGUUGUCUUAAGAAUCAAUGUAUGCCUGGGCAUGGUGGUGCACAUGCAAUCCCAGCGGCUCCGGUGGCUGAGUUAGGAGGAUCACGAUUUCAAACCCAGCCUCAGCAACAACGAGACACUAAGCAACUCAGUGAGACCCUGUCUCUAAAUAAAAUUAAAAAAUGGGGAUGUGGCUCAGUGGUCCAGUGCCUCUGAAUUCAAUCCCUGGGACCUCCCCACACACACACACACAAAAUGAAUGCAUGGCUGGUUGUGGCACAGGACUGUAAUCCCAGUCACUCCAGAGGCUGAGGCAGGAGGAUCACAAGUUUAAAGCCAGCCUCAGCAAUUUAGCGAGACUCUUUUUGCAAAUAAAAUGAUUAAGUGCCCCUGGGUUCAAUCCCUGGUACCAAAAAAAAAAAAAAAGUGAAUGUGUGAUGUAUGGUUGGGUUGGUGGGACACACCUGUAAUCCCAGUGGCUUGGGAGCCUAAUGCAGGAGAAUGGCAAAUUCAAUGGAAGCCUCAGCAACUAAGGGAUGCCCUAAGCAACUUAGGGAAAACUUGUCUCAAAAAAGGGGGAGGUGGGGCUGGAGAUACAGCUCAGUGAUAAAGCAACUCUGGGUCCAAUCUCCGGUAUUGCAAAACAGAAAAAGAGUAGAUAUGUGGUUAUGCUCUGAC